AGAGUUUGAUCCUGGCUCAGGACGAACGCUGGCGGCGCGCCUAACACAUGCAAGUCGAACGAGCGAGAGAGAGCUUGCUUUCUCGAGCGAGUGGCGAACGGGUGAGUAACGCGUGAGGAACCUGCCUCAAAGAGGGGGACAACAGUUGGAAACGACUGCUAAUACCGCAUAAGCCCACGGUGCCGCAUGGCACAGAGGGAAAAGGAGCAAUCCGCUUUGAGAUGGCCUCGCGUCCGAUUAGCUAGUUGGUGAGGUAAUGGCCCACCAAGGCGACGAUCGGUAGCCGGACUGAGAGGUUGAACGGCCACAUUGGGACUGAGACACGGCCCAGACUCCUACGGGAGGCAGCAGUGGGGAAUAUUGCACAAUGGGGGAAACCCUGAUGCAGCGACGCCGCGUGGAGGAAGAAGGUCUUCGGAUUGUAAACUCCUGUUGUUGGGGAAGAUAAUGACGGUACCCAACAAGGAAGUGACGGCUAACUACGUGCCAGCAGCCGCGGUAAAACGUAGGUCACAAGCGUUGUCCGGAAUUACUGGGUGUAAAGGGAGCGCAGGCGGGAAGACAAGUUGGAAGUGAAAUCUAUGGGCUCAACCCAUAAACUGCUUUCAAAACUGUUUUUCUUGAGUAGUGCAGAGGUAGGCGGAAUUCCCGGUGUAGCGGUGGAAUGCGUAGAUAUCGGGAGGAACACCAGUGGCGAAGGCGGCCUACUGGGCACCAACUGACGCUGAGGCUCGAAAGUGUGGGUAGCAAACAGGAUUAGAUACCCUGGUAGUCCACACCGUAAACGAUGAUUACUAGGUGUUGGAGGAUUGACCCCUUCAGUGCCGCAGUUAACACAAUAAGUAAUCCACCUGGGGAGUACGACCGCAAGGUUGAAACUCAAAGGAAUUGACGGGGGCCCGCACAAGCAGUGGAGUAUGUGGUUUAAUUCGA
rnacentral:rRNA from 1 species